UUGCAUUCAAAAUGCCUGCCCCAAAUUUCUUUGGGAUUAGUAUGCAUCCAUAACAUGCUCCAUUAUAAAAGGAGUUCUCAGGGCUGUCAGCCUUACAGUAGAGGUUGAGUGGUAGUAUGUUCCUCCGAAUAAA